rnacentral:rRNA from 1 species
GCAAUCUGCCCUGCACUCUGGGACAAGCCCUGGAAACGGGGUCUAAUACCGGAUAUGACCUGGUGAGGCAUCUCAUCGGGUGGAAAGCUCCGGCGGUGCAGGAUGAGCCCGCGGCCUAUCAGCUUGUUGGUGGGGUGAUGGCCUACCAAGGCGACGACGGGUAGCCGGCCUGAGAGGGCGACCGGCCACACUGGGACUGAGACACGGCCCAGACUCCUACGGGAGGCAGCAGUGGGGAAUAUUGCACAAUGGGCGAAAGCCUGAUGCAGCGACGCCGCGUGAGGGAUGACGGCCUUCGGGUUGUAAACCUCUUUCAGCAGGGAAGAAGCGCAAGUGACGGUACCUGCAGAAGAAGCGCCGGCUAACUACGUGCCAGCAGCCGCGGUAAUACGUAGGGCGCAAGCGUUGUCCGGAAUUAUUGGGCGUAAAGAGCUCGUAGGCGGCUUGUCACGUCGGAUGUGAAAGCCCGGGGCUUAACCCCGGGUCUGCAUUCGAUACGGGCAGGCUAGAGUUCGGUAGGGGAGAUCGGAAUUCCUGGUGUAGCGGUGAAAUGCGCAGAUAUCAGGAGGAACACCGGUGGCGAAGGCGGAUCUCUGGGCCGAUACUGACGCUGAGGAGCGAAAGCGUGGGGAGCGAACAGGAUUAGAUA